rnacentral:lncRNA from 10 species
CAACUGUGCUGGGGAUGGGUGACCUUAUUCCCUGCAUUGUUCAAGGGUCAACUAUAAUAGGUCAAUGGUCUGGAAAAUUCGAAGAGAAAAAGGGUGUAAGCAGGAGAUCCAUGUUCCAGGAGUAGGUCUACAUCACAGGUGUGAGUAAACUGAGAUACGUUCCUUGUAAGUAUCCUGUUAUUCAUCCAUGAAAUAGGAAAACAUAGCUAGCCACAAUGGUAGUUUAUUCUCAUUUCAAUGUUAGUUUUUAAGUUUCUAUAAUGAGUGAAUCCUAGAUAUAAACUAUGUAAAGAUAUAUAGCUUUUUAGAGAUCACACAAUGCUGCCAUAUAUACAAUGCUAUUUGAUCCUUACAAAAAAUAUUUGAGGAAGACAGUGCAGAAACCCCUAUUUUGCAGAUGAGAAAAGAUGGCUCCGAUGAAGGUGACUUAUCUAAGUUGGCAUGGACCAUUGUGGCAGAGCUGACUUGAACCCAAAUUUUCUGGUGUACAUUAUGAACUGAAUUCUGAUUCAGUUCAACAUGCAUUGACCCCACUGUAUACUAAGCUCUAGAAAUAAAAUAUGAGUAAGUUUCAGAUCUUUAAAUGCAGCCUAUGAGAAAAAACAGGUACUUUCUAUAAUAAAUUGAACCAUAUGACCAAUUGCUGUUUUUGUGGGCCAAAAAUGUCGAAUAUUGGUUAUUUCAUUUGAUUUAAUCAAAUAAUAUGUAAGUACUAUGAUAGCGGUAUAUUGAUAAGUUACUUUGUUGUUUUCCUUAUAUCUGGAAUUUCUGCUGCUCUCAACCAUUUUUAUCCUCUACUUUCUGAAGCAGUUGGCCUUGACAGAGGUGGCUAAAUGUCUACAUCACUUUAAUUCACAAGAAUACAUAUAUGCACGCUGGAUGACUGACGACCCUAGCAAUCCACACAGACUUCUUUCUUGCCUGAAUCAACACUCAAGUUCAUGUCUAAUACAGCAUUUCUUCUUGGCCUGUAAAUACAGGGAAUCAAUGGCUAAUGAGCAACUUCAUACAGGAUCUCUGAGGUUGUACAUAAUAAGUUGGACUACCCCAGACCUAAGGUACAUGGUAUUUCGAGACGUCAAGGACUGCAGAGUUCUGAUGGCUUAAAGAGUUAGGAAAAACCACUGAUUUGCCAGCCAAGAGGUCAUCUGUGACCUCAAGAUCUGCAGCAAUGGUGUAAGACUGAUAACUGGCAGCAAAAUAAAACAGCAGUACAUGAAAAAGGGUGGCUGUGUACCAAGCAUUGUGUCAAAAAUCUUAAUCUCUGAAAGGUCAUAGGUUUGAUAAGUUAGUAGAGUUUUUCCACUUUAAAGAUAGGAAUGAUCAUAGAAUUAUUGAAGGCAGAAGGAAAGAAUCAAUUAGAAGUGGAAAGGU